rnacentral:lncRNA from 1 species
UUCGGGUCGGCCUCAGGGCAACACCACCCGGCCCCUCUUCAGCUUCGUAGCAGAUGGAAUGGCAGCGGCGGCGGUGGCGGCAUUGUCACGAGACAUAGCAGCCGCCGGGCUUCCUUUGCCCGUCUGGAGCAGCUCUGUCGAACUUCAUGGGCGAGAACGGUGGCACGGCAGACUUAGGCGGCCGGCCGCGCUUCCUCUUCUCACUCGGCGCCGGUGGCACCAUCUUGGCCGCCUUCGGGGGCCUGCCUGGUUUUCUCUUCGGC